GGCUGCCUAUGUGAGACUAGCAUCUAACGUUAGUUACUCUGCUGUGCUGUGAAGUAAUGUCUGGCUUUGUAAGAUUAGCAUCUAGCAAAAUUUAUGCUGUG